UCGGGGGACAAAGAUUUCAUCAAGGUAACCAGACAAAACGGCUUCUAAGAUUAGUUGUUCUCAACACGUUCACACCUGCAGGACACGGCUCUGCACAGGGUACGUAUCACCCACAGCAUUAGCCUGGCCGUUGCAACAAAAGUGGAAGCUGGGGGGAAAUAACCUCAAACGGAAUUUAGGAGUAGAUGACAAUGCUCUGGGUGGGAGGUAAAAUGGUCAAUGAGAAAACGACUGAACCAUGUUUAAAAAACUGGAAGGGGAAGAGGCAAAUGCUAUAAGCGUUUGUGGAUUUCACAAGGGUUUUCAAAUCCAGUCAAUAAGAAAAAAUGUAAAAGUUCCAGAGGCCUGUUUCCUAAUAUUGUCUCUGAUGCAUGUUAAACUUCAAAAAUAUGCUACCUAUCUUUAAUAUUUACUGCCUCUCUCCAAAAACGUAGGUGGCACUUACACU
rnacentral:lncRNA from 1 species